AAUCAAGUGCGCUCAUGAUUAGGCUCGAUCCGAUGGUUAUUAUAUUGUCUAAUUAGAUUAAAACUUAUCUUGCUUUUAAAUUGAAAAGUUAAUUAGAGAUAUAUUCUAGUCAUAUUAAGAUAACAAUCAUAAACCGAUUACAUCUAAUCUUUUGCUUUUCUAUUAGGGUGUUAUGAUCCCUUAUAAAUAUAAAGGGUUAUUCGCUCAUAUAAAACAAAGAAGAAAAAAUAGAGAGAAAAAUAGAUUUGUGAGCUGUCUUGUGAGAGAGAGAAAUCACAUCCUGCAUUAACCUAUUAUCUUAAAGGGUAUUGAAAGGUGGAUUAGAGAUUGUGUUCAUUUGUAAUUUGAUCUAUCGCUGGUUUGGAACGUUAAAAAACCUUCGUGGAUGAUUCGAGGAUACGUAAAUCAACCUCUAAAAUCUGAACUCAUCGCGUUCUAUAGCGGAGUUGUUUUUACAAAAAACACGAACAAAUUCUUUCACUGCGUUCUACGAGGAAUUCUACACUGUCACACUUGCACCACGUCAUCAAUAACAAGCCAAUCACAUUCCUGCUUUUCAAACAAAAGUACAAUAAAAAUACUUUUUUACAAUCAUGAUGGGACAUAUAUUCUUAAAAGAAUUAAUUUGAUUGAUUUAUUACGCCACGUCACUAAUAUACCCGUUGCAUUCUAGAAUUUG
rnacentral:lncRNA from 1 species